rnacentral:rRNA from 1 species
AAGCGUAUGGGGGCAGACUUGGCCGCGGGGUUCAGGGUGUCUUUUGGCGCCUGUACUUCCCCGUGGGCAGGCCAGCAUCGGUUUUGGGGGUUGGAUAAAGGCGUCGGGAAUGUGGCUCCCCUCGGGGAGUGUUAUAGCCCGUCGCGCAAUGCAGCCACCCGGGAUCGAGGACCGCGCUUCGGCAAGGAUGCUGGCGUAAUGGCCUCAUACGG